AUGAACGCUAGCGGCAGGCUUAACACAUGCAAGUCGAGGGGCAGCACGGGUAGCAAUAUCUGGUGGCGACCGGCGCAAGGGUGCGUAACGCGUGAGCAACAUGCCCGUAUCAGGGGGAUAAUCCAGGGAAACUUGGUCUAAUACCCCAUAGCAAUUAAAGGAGGCAUCUUUUUUAAUUUAAAGCUUUGGUGGAUACGGAUUGGCUCGCGUGACAUUAGCUAGAUGGUAAGGUAACGGCUUACCAUGGCUACGAUGUCUAGGGGUUCUGAGAGGAAGAUCCCCCACACUGGAACUGAGACACGGUCCAGACUCCUACGGGAGGCAGCAGUGAGGAAUAUUGGACAAUGGAUGGAAAUCUGAUCCAGCCAUGCCGCGUGCAGGAAGACGGCCCUAUGGGUUGUAAACUGCUUUUGUAUGGGAGCAAUAAGGUCUAUGCGUAGACUGAUGAGAGUACCAUACGAAUAAGCAUCGGCUAACUCCGUG
rnacentral:rRNA from 1 species